rnacentral:rRNA from 1 species
AGAGUUUGAUCCUGGCUCAGAUUGAACGCUGGCGGCAUGCCUUACACAUGCAAGUCGAACGGCAGCACGGGGGCAACCCUGGUGGCGAGUGGCGAACGGGUGAGUAAUACAUCGGAACGUGUCCUGUAGUGGGGGAUAGCCCGGCGAAAGCCGGAUUAAUACCGCAUACGCUCUACGGAGGAAAGGGGGGGAUCUUAGGACCUCCCGCUACAGGGGCGGCCGAUGGCAGAUUAGCUAGUUGGUGGGGUAAAGGCCUACCAAGGCGACGAUCUGUAGCUGGUCUGAGAGGACGACCAGCCACACUGGAACUGAGACACGGUCCAGACUCCUACGGGAGGCAGCAGUGGGGAAUCUUCCGCAAUGGGCGAAAGCCUGACGGAGCAACGCCGCGUGAGUGAUGAAUGCUUUAGGGUUGUAAAACUCUGUCUUCAGGGAAGAAAAAAAUGACGGUACCUGAGGAGGAAGCCCCGGCUAACUACGUGCCAGCAGCCGCGGUAAUACGUAGGGGGCAAGCGUUGUCCGGAAUUACUGGGCGUAAAGAGCAUGUAGGCGGGUAUUUAAGUCAGGAGUGAAAACUAUGGGCUCAACCCAUAGCCUGCUCAUGAAACUGGAUACCUUGAGGGUAUGAGAGGAAAGCGGAAUUCCCAGUGUAGCGGUGAAAUGCGUAGAUAUUGGGAGGAACACCAGUGGCGAAGGCGGCUUUCUGGCAUACAACUGACGCUGAGAUGCGAAAGCGUGGGGAGCGAACGGGAUUAGAUACCCUGGUAGUC